GACGAACGCUGGCGGCGUGCUUAACACAUGCAAGUCGAACGGAGUGGCGAACGGGUGAGUAUUACGUGUGUAACCUGCCCUCAACUGUGGGAUAAGCCUGGGAAACUGGGUCUAAUACUGCAUAGUUGGGGAUGGGCUCGCGGCCUAUCUGCUUGUUGGUGGGGGGAUGGCCUACCAAGGCGGUGACGGGUGGCCGGCCCGUGAGGGUGGUCGUCCACGUUGGGACGGAGAUACGGCCCAGACUCCUACGGGAGGCAGCAGUGGGAGAUGUUGCACAAUGGGAGCAAGCCUGAUCCAGGGACGCCGCGUGAGGGAUGAAGGCUUUCGGGUUGUAAACCUCUUUCGGAACAGAACGGGUAUGUGCAGAAGAAGCGCCGGCUAACUACGUGCCAGCAGCCGCGGUAAUUC
rnacentral:rRNA from 1 species